rnacentral:ribozyme from 1 species
UUACAGAUAGCAACUCGCCCGUUAAAUCGUUGAAUGAAAAAAAUAGGGCAAUCGUGUGUUGUAGUGACAAAAAGAUGAUUCUGAUAAU